rnacentral:rRNA from 1 species
UACGUAGGGGGCGAGCGUUGUCCGGAAUUACUGGGCGUAAAGAGCUCGUAGGUGGUUUGUCGCGUUGUUCGUGAAAACUCACAGCUCAACUGUGGGCGUGCGGGCGAUACGGGCAGACUUGAGUACUGCAGGGGAGACUGGAAUUCCUGGUGUAGCGGUGGAAUGCGCAGAUAUCAGGAGGAACACCGGUGGCGAAGGCGGGUCUCUGGGCAGUAACUGACGCUGAGGAGCGAAAGCGUGGGGAGCGAACAGG